CCUACGGGUGGCAGCAGUGAGGAAUAUUGGUCAAUGGACGAGAGUCUGAACCAGCCAAGUAGCGUGAAGGAUGACUGCCCUAUGGGUUGUAAACUUCUUUUAUAUGGGAGUAAAAUGUUCCACGUGUGGGAGUUUGUAUGUAUCAUACGAAUAAGGAUCGGCUAACUCCGUGCCAGCAGCCGCGGUAAUACGGAGGAUCCGAGCGUUAUCCGGAUUUAUUGGGUUUAAAGGGAGCGUAGGUGGCUUGAUAAGUUAGUUGUGAAAUUUUGCGGCUCAACCCCAAAAUUGCAGUUGAUACUGGCAGUCUUGAGUACAGUGGCGGUAGGCGGAAGUCGUGGUGUAGCGGUGAAAUGCUUAGAUAUCACACAGAACACCGAUUGCGAAGGCAGCUCACUGGACUACAACUGACACUGAGGCUCGAAAGUGUGGGUAUCAAACAGGAUUAGAUACCCCAGUAGUC
rnacentral:rRNA from 1 species